rnacentral:tRNA from 1 species
GCGGGUGUAACUCAGCGGUAGAGUGCUUCCUUGCCAAGGAAGAUGUCGAGAGUUCGAAUCUCUUCACCCGCU